rnacentral:rRNA from 1 species
GAUGAACGCUGGCGGCGUGCUUAACACAUGCAAGUCGAACGGAAAGGCCCAAGCUUGCUUGGGUACUCGAGUGGCGAACGGGUGAGUAACACGUGGGUGAUCUGCCCUGCACUUCGGGAUAAGCCUGGGAAACUGGGUCUAAUACCAGAUAGGACCACAUUUUGGAUGGUGUGGUGGAAAGUUUUUCGGUGUGGGAUGAGCUCGCGGCCUAUCAGCUUGUUGGUGGGGUAAUGGCCUACCAAGGCGUCGACGGGUAGCCGGCCUGAGAGGGUGUACGGCCACAUUGGGACUGAGAUACGGCCCAGACUCCUACGGGAGGCAGCAGUGGGGAAUAUUGCACAAUGGGCGCAAGCCUGAUGCAGCGACGCCGCGUGGGGGAUGACGGCCUUCGGGUUGUAAACUCCUUUCGCUAGGGACGAAGCGUUUUUGUGACGGUACCUGGAGAAGAAGCACCGGCUAACUACGUG